rnacentral:rRNA from 1 species
UACGUAGGGACCAAGCGUUGUUCGGAUUUACUGGGCGUAAAGGGCGCGUAGGCGGCAAUUCAAGUCAGUUGUGAAAUCUCCGAGCUUAACUCGGAACGGUCAACUGAUACUGUUUUGCUAGAGUACAGAAGGGGCAAUCGGAAUUCUUGGUGUAGCGGUGAAAUGCGCAGAUAUCAGGAGGAACACCAAUGGCGAAGGCAGCUCGCUGGGACGGUACUGACGCUGAGACGCGAAAGCGUGGGGAGCAAACAGG